rnacentral:rRNA from 1 species
UUAUAUGAGAGUUUGAUCCUGGCUCAGGAUGAACGCCGGCGGUGUGCCUAAUACAUGCAAGUCGAACGCGUUG